rnacentral:snRNA from 1 species
GGGCUUCAGCAGCACAUAUACUAAAAUUGGAACAAUACAGAGGAGAUUAGCAUGGCCCCUGUGCAAGGAUGUCACGCAAAUUCGUGAAGUGUUCCAUAUUUUU